rnacentral:lncRNA from 1 species
GAAAUACCAAUAUUUUUUGAGCAUGGCAAGUGUUUCCAAGCAUUCAGAAGUGCAGAAUGAGGUCUGCUUGUCAUCCUCUCAGUCUCAACUGCUCUCCCUCCUUCAUAUCUCUGUUUCAUUGAUGAGUAUAGAAGAUCAGUGAUUUUUAUAUGAAAUGAAAAUUGAUGGAACUAAGGUGUUGAUUUGAUUAUCCAACCGACCAUUUAUUGAGUGUUCAUUACAAGGUAAAUUGUGUUCUGGAGAACAGCUCAGGAAAUGAAUGCUUGACAUUGAUGUACAUAAUAGAAAUACAAACAUACCAUUAAAAAAUCAGACCUCUUAUGACAAUCCAGAUUCUCAUGUAAGUUUUGUGAAGCUCUUUCAAGAUGAGGAUGUAAAAUUUCAAAAAAAAAUCAUUUUAACAAGUUCUUCUUGAGACAGAAAAGUGGAAUUAGAAGAUCAUAUAUGGUUGUUUCACUAGCUCAAAUCUCAAGUACAGUUUUUAGUCAAUUGACAGCCAUAUAAUUCUUAGUUUUGUAUACUGAUAUUCAUUAGAAAUUAUAAACUUUAAAAAAUAUUCCUGUCUCAUUCUACUAAUCAAUUUAAAAUUUUCAUUCAUUUGGUUAUAUUUCUUCAUUUUACCUGGCCUUGAAUACUUCUUUCCUGCCCAGCAUUAAACUUAAUUAAUGUCUAAUUUGUUUACUUGGUUUAAUUAUUUUUGGCCAUGUUCAAUACACUUCUUAUGAAGCAGGCAUGUAGGAAUGUUUACAAGUUUAUGGUUCUCACUCUUCCAAAUGCCUGAUGGCAGCACCCCAACAGACACACACCACAAUAUAAACACAUACACACACACACACCAGUGCACACCCAUACUCACCCACCUACACACAGAAACACACCCACACACACACUUCAGUGGAUAAACACAGAAAACACUCUACAGGCAAAGACAUCAUAUAUCAGGGAUCUCUUAGUGCACUACACACUUCUGUAAAUUAUCAGGACUGCUCAAUUGAGGUGAGUCUACAGAGAUUUCAAAGGCUAUUUGAGUGCUAAGCUAUCUAAUUAGUGGUUGGAGACUAUUUAAAUAGUGCAUUAAACACAACUCUUGAGGCUCUGAAGAAUUUCUGUGCUUUCCAAUGAACCAGGAGUUACAAGGUCCUGAAAACCACAAGCUUGUUAUAUACUUUAAUAGAUAAAGCAAAGCUGAUAUUAAUGUGAAUAUACUUCAUAUUUACUUCCAUUUAUGUUAAUUUUUCUUUGCCUGUGAUAUGCAUUUUUAUAUAACUGGGAAUAAGAAACAUCUUAGGAAAAAGAAAACAGAAAAUAAAAUUUCCCUGAUUACACUGUGCCUUGGUCCAGUAACCCUGCACUGCACGUAUAGACUAUAAAUGGGUGUCUUGGAGAGCCACUUUGGUAUUUCAUUU